GCCUGGGUGGCUCAGUCGGUUGAGCAUCUGACUCUGGCUCAGGGCAUCAUCUCACGGUCGGUGGGUUCAAGCCCCGCUUCGGGCU
rnacentral:tRNA from 1 species